AUUGAACGCUGGCGGCAUGCUUUACACAUGCAAGUCGAACGGUAACAGGCCUUCGGGUGCUGACGAGUGGCGAACGGGUGAGUAAUGCAUCGGAACGUGCCCAGAGGUGGGGGAUAACGCAGCGAAAGGUGUGCUAAUACCGCAUGUGAUCUGAGGAUGAAAGCGGGGGACCAAGCAGCAAUGUUUGGCCUCGCGCCUCUGGAACGGCCGAUGUCAGAUUAGGUAGUUGGUGGGGUAAAGGCCUACCAAGCCGACGAUCUGUAGCUGGUCUGAGAGGACGACCAGCCACACUGGGACUGAGACACGGCCCAGACUCCUACGGGAGGCAGCAGUGGGGAAUUUUGGACAAUGGGCGCAAGCCUGAUCCAGCAAUGCCGCGUGCGGGAAGAAGGCCUUCGGGUUGUAAACCGCUUUUGUACGGAACGAAAAGGCUCUGGCUAAUACCUGGGGCUGAUGACGGUACCGUAAGAAUAAGCACCGGCUAACUACGUG
rnacentral:rRNA from 1 species